rnacentral:rRNA from 1 species
GACGAACGCUGGCGGCGUGCUUAACACAUGCAAGUGGAGCGACGAACCCUUCGGGGGGCAAAGCCGCGAACGGGUGAGUAACACGUGGGUAACCUGCCCCGAUGACUGGGACAACCCGGGGAAACCCGGGCUAAUACCGGAUGAUGUGCACACACUUCAGUGUGUUCACUAAAGGUAGCUUCGGCUUCCGCAUGAGGAGGUGCCCGCGGCCCAUUAGCUUGUUGGUGAGGUAACGGCUCACCAAGGUAACGAGGGGUAGCUGGUGUGAGAGGACGAUCAGCCACACUGGGACUGAGACACGGCCCAGACUCCUACGGGAGGCAGCAGUGGGGAAUCUUGCGCAAUGCGCGAAAGCGUGACGCAGCAACGCCGCGUGAGGGAAGACGGCCUUCGGGUUGUAAACCUCUUUCAGUAGGGACGAAGGCCGGCCGGUGAAUAGCCGUGUCGGUUGACGGUACCUUCAGAAGAAGCUCCGGCUAACUACGUGCCAGCCGCCGCCGUAA